GACGAACGCUGGCGGCGUGCUUAACACAUGCAAGUCGAACGGAAAGGCCCUGCUUUUGUGGGGUGCUCGAGUGGCGAACGGGUGAGUAACACGUGAGUAACCUGCCCUUGACUUUGGGAUAACUUCAGGAAACUGGGGCUAAUACCGGAUAGGAGCUCCUGCUGCAUGGUGGGGGUUGGAAAGUUUCGGCGGUUGGGGAUGGACUCGCGGCUUAUCAGCUUGUUGGUGGGGUAGUGGCUUACCAAGGCUUUGACGGGUAGCCGGCCUGAGAGGGUGACCGGCCACAUGGGGACUAAGAUACGGCCCAGACGCCUACGGGAGGCAGCAGGGGGGAAUAUUGCACAAGGGGCGGAAGCCUGAUGCAGCAACGCCGCGUGCGGGAUGACGGCCUUCGGGUUGUAAACCGCUUUCGCCUGUGACGAAGCGUGAGUGACGGUAAUGGGUAAAGAAGCACCGGCUAACUACGUG
rnacentral:rRNA from 1 species